GUAACACCUUGAAAGACCAAUGACAACUUUCCAGACCCGAACUAUGCAUCAGCCUCCCCUGCCCCUGCGCCUUCAUUUCUAACAUGACAGGAAGAUUCCAGGUACAAGCAAACUAACCCAGGUACAAACAACAGCUCAACCACAGCAGCCCAGAGCUCAGCCUGAACCCCUUUACCCAACUGUCCAGUAUCCUGAUUUGGGAGAAUGAUUGCAGCCUUCAUUAAACCACAUGAAUCUGCAAAGAAGAGGAUGUCAUUAGAGAGAAAUCAAUGGAGACUUCCGAAAGGCUGCUCCAAACUGGUUUGCAGCUACCCCUUAAUGAGGGACCCCUGCCUUCCCGUUUGUUCUGCAGCAUUUGGGGGCUUUGUUUGU